AUGAUAAAAAUGUACAUUGCAUCUUGCAAACAAAAUUUUAUUCUCACUGACGUUUUAGUAAUUUUUAUAGAAUGGAUUAGUGGACAGUGGCCUUGUGUAAUCAUAUGGCUGAAUUGGGGUUUUGUGACCCUUAAUUCAGUUAUUUACAUGCCACAGUACAAAUGUAUUCCUCUCAAAUGGAUAUUUGUAUGCCUGUGUUGUAGCUUAAAAUUUUACUGGAACAUCCCACUCGAUACAGAUAGAAGAAAUGUGUCUUCACCAAUGAAGUCCAUGGGUGACAUGGAGAAGGAAGAAGUCUUGUCCUCCCCAUGAAAUAGUUCCCCUGUCUGACUGCCUCUGCUGAGUUAUCAAGGCAGUGAGGGGAAGGCAGAACUGUUCAGCUGAUGUGCCAGGAUGAUAGCAUUAGACGUGAGUUUUAAAUAAGGCCCRGUUUGCUUGUGAAAGCUAUAACACUACAACUUUGGAUAAGAAUGUUAUUUUCUUUUCUUUUCAUCUUUUUCCCCUCCCUGCCACUCACAGGCUUUUUUUCCGCUCCCCGUAUGGUUGCACUCUGCUAUGAGUUUGACAUGAUCACAGUUUUCUUACUAUAAAGAUGAUUUUAUUAAACCAUAGUUGCU
rnacentral:lncRNA from 1 species